rnacentral:rRNA from 1 species
UACGUAGGGUCCAAGCGUUAUCCGGAAUCACUGGGCGUAAAGCGUGCGUAGGCGGCGUGUUAAGUGUGAUGUUAAAUCGUGUGGCUCAACCAUAUCGAUGCAUCGCAUACUGGCAUGCUAGAGGAAGGCAGAGGCAAGUGGAAUUUGUAGUGUAGCAGUGAAAUGCGUAGAUAUUACAAGGAACACCAAUGGCGAAGGCGGUUCUCUGGGCCUUACCUGACGCUGAGGAGCGAAAGCGUGGGGAGCGAACAGG